UUCGCAAUGCCCGAAAGGGUGACGAAGCGACGCCGCGUGGGUGAGGAAGGCCUUCGGGUUGCAAAGCCCUGUCAGGAGUUAAGAAAUGUAAGUGCGCUAAUAUCGCAUUUAUUUGACGAAGGCUCCAAAGGAAGUCACGGCUAACUCUGUGCCAGCAGCCGCGGUAAUACAGAGGUGGCAAGCGUUGUUCGGAAUUAUUGGGCGUAAAGAGCACGUAGGUGGGUUUGUAAGUCAGAUGUGAAAGCCUUCUGUUCAACGGAAGAAUUGCAUCUGAAACUGCAAGUCUUGAGUGUAGGAGGGGAGAAUGGAACUUCUGGUGGAGCGGUGAAAUGCGUAGAUAUCAGAAGGAACGCCGGCGGCGAAAGCGAUUCUCUGGCCUAUUACUGACACUCAGUGUGCGAAAGCCAGGGGAGCAAACGGGAUUAGAUACCCCGGUAGUCCUAGCCGUAAACGAUGGGCACUAAGUAGAGGGGUUUU
rnacentral:rRNA from 1 species